rnacentral:rRNA from 1 species
UACGGGGGGGGCAAGCGUUGUUCGGAAUUACUGGGCGUAAAGGAUUCGUAGGUGGCCGAUUAAGUCAGACGUGAAAUCCCUCAGCUCAACUGGGGAACUGCGUCUGAUACUGGUUGGCUUGAGUGCAGGAGAGGAACGCGGAAUUCCAGGUGUAGCGGUGAAAUGCGUAGAUAUCUGGAGGAACACCGGUGGCGAAGGCGGCGUUCUGGACUGCAACUGACACUGAGGAACGAAAGCCAGGGGAGCAAACGGG